UGGGGAAUAUUGCACAAUGGGCGAAAGCCUGAUGCAGCAACGCCGCGUGAGUGAUGAAGGCCUUCGGGUUGUAAAGCUCUGUCUUUUGGGACGAUAAUGACGGUACCAAAGGAGGAAGCCACGGCUAACUACGUGCCAGCAGCCGCGGUAAUACGUAGGUGGCAAGCGUUGUCCGGAUUUACUGGGCGUAAAGGAUGCGUAGGCGGAUUUUUAAGUGAGAUGUGAAAUACCCGGGCUUAACUUGGGUGCUGCAUUUCAAACUGGGAAUCUAGAGUGCGGGAGAGGAGAAUGGAAUUCCUAGUGUAGCGGUGAAAGUGCGUAGAGAUUAGGAAGAACACCAGUGGCGAAGGCGAUUCUCUGGACCGUAACUGACGCUGAGGCAUGAAAGCGUGGGUAGCAAACAGGAUUAGAUACCCUGGUAGUCCACGCCGUAAACGAUGAGUACUAGGUGUAGGAGGUAUCGACCCCUUCUGUGCCGCAGUUAACACAAUCAAGUACUCCGCCUGGGAAGUACGAUCGC
rnacentral:rRNA from 1 species